AGGGAAAGGGGAAAUAGUGGAGAAUAUUGGCCAAAUUAUAUUGUUAUAUUGUGUGAAUAUAUGACUAUGUAACAACAAAUUCCACUAUAAUGUACAAUUACAAUGCACCAUUAGAAUUAUGGGAGAAAAAGUCAUACUUUGGCAUAACCAAGUUUAUAGCAGUACAGUUUACAAUGGCUGAACUAUGGAACCAUCUUAAAGUGUGUGAUAAUGGAUGAAUGGCUAAAGAAAAUCACACACACACACUGGAGUAGUUUUAUUCAGCCAUAAAGAAGAAUGAAAUUCUGUCACUUGCAGGGAAAUGGAUACUUAAGAACGUUGUGGCAAAACAAGUCAAACUCAAAGUCAAGCAUGGUAUGCUUUCUCUCAUACAUGGAAGCUAAAGAGAAAAAAGGAAAAGAAAGGUUUGACUCUGGUAGACUUCAAGGUUCUCCAAAUUGGCCAAGCUUCAUGAUGAACUCUUUGAGUGCAAGAGGCUGGAGGCAAUGUCAGGAGAAGGCAAGAUGCUUGGAUUCUGGUGUUAAAAGAGGAAGAAGUGGAAUUAUUCAGAAUACAUGCAAACUUACUUUUUUCAACUGAUCCCAUCUUCAUAGGUUGCUUUCCAACUUUGGAACUGCUUCUUACUUUGGCUUUGUCUGUUUAUAUUUCCCUUAACUUUCUGGCCAUAAAAUAUUUGUGUCAGCAGGGAAAAAAAAAAAAAACCUCCUGGUUCUCAAAUCAAAAUAUAAAUUUAUUUUGAGAGAAAAGUUCACUAAUUAUGGAGGUUCACUAACCAGGAUGUGAGUUCAUGAGGAUAUUACUAGAGGAAAAAGGAAAUUCAUUUUCUUUGACCCUUUCCUUGAUUACAAGCUAGCACAACUAAGACUACUAAAAAAUCUAAUAUGCUUCUAAAAGUCACUUUAUGGAGCAAAAACUAGAAGAUUGUAUACUACAUUAUUAGUAAUUAUCUCUGGUUUUCUGUAUUUUCCAAGUUUAUUUUCAUGAGAAACAUUUGGAGAAAUAUUCUAUCAGUGAAACCUAUCAUGUUUCUACUGCCUAUAAUCAUCCUGUAAUUGUUUGCUUAUUUCCCUUGUAAAGUUGAGGUAAUUUGGGGGGUCAGGAUUUUUUCCCCACUUCUGUACCCCACAUGCGAAGAACACACAGAAAUGUUUACAUUUGUCAAAUGACUGGAUUUAUAUUUUGAGCAAUGACCUUAAUGUAAGCCAAUCAUUUUGGAUAUCCAUUGCCAAACGGAGGGGAUGAUUAAAUGCUUCACUUUUUGUUC